GUGCUAUGAGUGAUGAGAUUACCAAUUUUACAGUUAUCCCUGGCUGAUAUAAUAUAGGGUGCUGAAAUUUUGUAAUCUGACAUGCAC